CAGAACACAAUCUUCAUCAUCACACAAGACACAACAACAACAAUGAACAACAUCCUCAUCCUCAUCUGGACUGUCUGUAUGUGUAUACAAGGUUUCAGUGGACAGGUGACUGUGACUCAGACUCCCUCUGUUAAAACAGUUCAGAUUGGUGAAUCAGUCACUAUAAACUGUAAAACAAACACAGUAGUGAGCAAUGGCUGUUUAGGUUCAUAUUCUUGUAUGGCCUGGUAUCAGCAGAAACCUGGAGAAGCUCCUAAACUCCUGAUUCAUUCAGCAAAUCGAAGGGAAUCAAACACUCCUUCUAGAUUCAGUGGCAGUGGAUCCAGAACUGAUUUCACUCUGACCAUCAGUGGAGUCCAGACUGAAGAUACAGGAGAUUAUUACUGUCAGAGUUACCACAGUGGUGAUGUG